UAUAUUUGCACCCGAGAAAAAUUUUCUCGUACAUAAUAAUCAUUGAAAUAAUAUUUGCAUG
rnacentral:ncRNA from 1 species